UACGUAGGGCGCAAGCGUUGUCCGGAAUUAUUGGGCGUAAAGAGCUCGUAGGUGGCUUGUCACGUCGGGUGUGAAAGCUUGGGGCUUAACUCCAGGUCUGCAUUCGAUACGGGCUGACUAGAGUACGGCAGGGGAGACUGGAAUUCCUGGUGUAGCGGUGAAAUGCGCAGAUAUCAGGAGGAACACCGGUGGCGAAGGCGGGUCUCUGGGCCGAUACUGACGCUGAGGAGCGAAAGCGUGGGGAGCGAACAGG
rnacentral:rRNA from 1 species